rnacentral:rRNA from 1 species
UACAGAGGGUGCAAGCGUUGUUCGGAAUUAUUGGGCGUAAAGCGCGUGUAGGCGGCUUUGCAAGUCGGGUGUGAAAGCCCCCAGCUUAACUGGGGAAGUGCGCUCGAAACUGCAGAGCUCGAGUACCGGAGAGGAUGGCGGAAUUCCCCAAGUAGAGGUGAAAUUCGUAGAUAUGGGGAGGAACACCGGUGGCGAAGGCGGCCAUCUGGACGGAUACUGACGCUGAGACGCGAAAGCGUGGGUAGCAAACAGG